rnacentral:rRNA from 1 species
UACGAAGGGGGCUAGCGUUGUUCGGAAUUACUGGGCGUAAAGGGCGCGUAGGCGGUCCCUCAAGUCAGGCGUGAAAGCCCCGGGCUCAACCUGGGAACCGCGCUUGAGACUGGUGGGCUAGAGUUCGGGAGAGGAUGGUGGAAUUCCCAGUGUAGAGGUGAAAUUCGUAGAUAUUGGGAAGAACACCGAUGGCGAAGGCAGCCAUCUGGACCGACACUGACGCUGAGGCGCGAAAGCGUGGGGAGCAAACAGGAUUAGAAACCCCCGUAGUCC